GGACUGUUGUGAUCGAUAGGUCUUGUCUGUAUAACCUUCUUCUGCACAUUCUUUGUACUGAUCCUUUAACUUCUCUUUUAGGCCUGACAUAUUGUUUUUCUGUGCCUUUGUCCACCCUGGAGACCUCCGUCUGCCUCCCCCCGUGACACCCUGGAGGACAGAUCUGGUACCUGGUGCUGCUGAUACAAGGCUUGAUGCAAGGACACUUUUGAGGGCAGCACAUCAGCACUUCUUGAGGCUGAGUCCCCAGCGCCUCAGCCAGAGGACCAUCUCUGUUAACUCCCAGGGCCACUGACACAGAAACCUCACACGACCUGCAGUGCGGGCUCUGGGAAGAGGUGUCAGCAGCUGCUGUUUUCCAGAGCGUCCUUGCCAAAACAGCCAUGGUGAUGGAGGAGGAACAUGGAGAAGCAAAAUGAAGGGACAGUUUCCAAAGCAUGUUAUUUUGGGGGUAAACAUUUAAAAAUAAAAAAAUAAAAAAGGAAAAAAAAAAAAAAAAAAACACAACAACAAAAAACCCACCUCAAAACAGCACAACAAAUUUCCUCCCUGGACUCCCUGGUGAUUUUAUCUUCCUCCUUGCUUGACCUCUCAUAACACAGCUGAACUAUAAAUAAACUUGAGAUAGUUAUGACACAAGCCAGGCUGCCAAAGCAGGCGUGGAAAGUGGAUGGAGAUGCUAUGAAUGAUCUCUACUAUCUGAAGUGUUACUUUCCAGUAUUUCUUCCUAGCGACCAAGAGAAGAGGAAGAACAGACCCAAACAGAUGAAAAACGUCCUCUUAUUCUGCACUUUCAAAAUCAUUCCGUUUUAAAAACUGCUUUAAAAUGUAUAGGUACUUUUCUUCCUGUAAAUAAAUUGCUCUUUUGUGCAAUAAACAUGUAAAUUAGACUAUCGAGCAUCUCAGAUACAAAGUAUUUCCUUCUGGGUAUCAUAAAUAUCACAGUGUAGCCCCUGUCUGCGUUAGCAAAGUUUCUGUCUCAUAGUCAAGACAGAGGAAGAAUCAUUCUCACAAAAACACCUUAUUCCCUGAAAAUGGUUUGUUGUAUGUUACCAAUCAAUCCUUUAAGAGUCUGUAGGCAGCCCCUUCCUGCUAUAAAUUGGUGUCACUCCACUGAAGUCAAUGAAGAUUAUAUAAAUCGAGGGUCUG